rnacentral:rRNA from 1 species
CACGUAGGGGGCGAGCGUUAUCCGGAUUCAUUGGGCGUAAAGCGCGCGUAGGCGGCCCGCCAAGCAGAACCUCUAACCUCGGGGCCCAACCCCGAGCCGGGUUCUGGACUGGCGGGCUCGAGUCUGGUAGAGGAAGGCGGAAUUCCCGGUGUAGCGGUGAAAUGCGCAGAUAUCGGGAAGAACACCGAUGGCGAAGGCAGCCUUCUGGGCCGCGACUGACGCUGAGGCGCGAAAGCUGGGGGAGC